rnacentral:rRNA from 1 species
GUGUCAGCAGCCGCGGUAAUACGAAAGGGGCUAGCGUUGUUCGGAAUUAUUGGGCGUAAAGAGCUCGUAGGCGGUCUGUCGCGUCUGCUGUGAAAACGCGGGGCUCAACCCCGCGCCUGCAGUGGGUACGGGCAGACUAGAGUGCAGUAGGGGAGACUGGAAUUCCUGGUGUAGCGGUGGAAUGCGCAGAUAUCAGGAGGGACACCGGUGGCGAAGGCGGGUCUCUGGGCUGUAACUGACGAUGAGGAGCGAAAGCGUGGGUAGCGAACAGGAUUAGAUACCCUGGUAGUCCACGCCGUAAACGUUGGGCUCUAGGUGUGGGGCUCAUUCCACGAGCUCCGUGCCGCAGCUAACGCAUUAAGCGCCCCGCCUGGGGAGUACGGCCGCAAGGCUAAAACUUAAAGGAAUUGGCGGGG